rnacentral:rRNA from 1 species
AGAGUUUGAUCCUGGCUCAGGAUGAACGCUGGCGGCGUGCCUAAUACAUGCAAGUCGAGCGAACAGACGAGGAGCUUGCUCCUUUGAYGUUAGCGGCGGAYGGGUGAGUAACACGUAGGUAACCUACCUAUAAGACUGGGAUAACUUCGGGAAACCGGAGCUAAUACCGGAUAAUAUUUCGAACCGCAUGGUUCGAUAGURAAAGAUGGCUUUGCUAUCACUUAUAGAUGGACCUGCGCCGUAUUAGCUAGUUGGUAAGGUAACGGCUUACCAAGGCAACGAUACGUAGCCGACCUGAGAGGGUGAUCGGCCACACUGGAACUGAGACACGGUCCAGACUCCUACGGGAGGCAGCAGUAGGGAAUCUUCCGCAAUGGGCGAAAGCCUGACGGAGCAACGCCGCGUGAGUGAUGAAGGUUUUCGGAUCGUAAAACUCUGUUAUUAGGGAAGAACAAACGUGUAAGUAACUGUGCACGUCUUGACGGUACCUAAUCAGAAAGCCACGGCUAACUACGUGCCAGCAGCCGCGGUAAUACGUAGGUGGCAAGCGUUAUCCGGAAUUAUUGGGCGUAAAGCGCGCGUAGGCGGUUUUUUAAGUCUGAUGUGAAAGCCCACGGCUCAACCGUGGAGGGUCAUUGGAAACUGGAAAAC